UGGGGAAUUUUGGACAAUGGGCGAAAGCCUGAUCCAGCAAUGCCGCGUGUGUGAAGAAGGCCUUCGGGUUGUAAAGCACUUUUGUCCGGAAAGAAAUCCUUGGCUCUAAUACAGUCGGGGGAUGACGGUACCGGAAGAAUAAGCACCGGCUAACUACGUGCCAGCAGCCGCGGUAAUACGUAGGGUGCAAGCGUUAAUCGGAAUUACUGGGCGUAAAGCGUGCGCAGGCGGUUUGCUAAGACCGAUGUGAAAUCCCCGGGCUCAACCUGGGAACUGCAUUGGUGACUGGCAGGCUAGAGUAUGGCAGAGGGGGGUAGAAUUCCACGUGUAGCAGUGAAAUGCGUAGAGAUGUGGAGGAAUACCGAUGGCGAAGGCAGCCCCCUGGGCCAAAUACUGACGCUCAUGCACGAAAGCGUGGGGAGCAAACAGGAUUAGAUACCCUGGUAGUCCACGCCCUAAACGAUGUCAACUAGUUGUUGGGGAUUCAUUUCCUUAGUAACGUAGCUAACGCGUGAAGUUGACCGCCUGGGGAGUACGGUCGCAAAGAUUAAAACUUAAAGGAAUUGACGGGGUCAUA
rnacentral:rRNA from 1 species